rnacentral:rRNA from 1 species
AUUGAACGCUGGCGGCAUGCUUUACACAAGCAAGUCGAACGGUAACAGGGAGCUUGCUCCGCUGACGAGUGGCGAACGGGUGAGUAAUGCGUCGGAACGUGCCGAGUAGUGGGGGAUAACGCAUCGAAAGGUGUGCUAAUACCGCAUACGUACUGAGGUAGAAAGUGGGGGACCUUCGGGCCUCACGCUAUUCGAGCGGCCGACGUCUGAUUAGCUAGUUGGUGAGGUAAAGGCUCACCAAGGCGACGAUCAGUAGCGGGUCUGAGAGGAUGAUCCGCCACACUGGGACUGGGACACGGCCCAGACUCCUACGGGAGGCAGCAGUGGGGAAUUUUGGACAAUGGGCGCAAGCCUGAUCCAGCUAUGCCGCGUGUCUGAAGAAGGCCUUCGGGUUGUAAAGGACUUUUGUCCGGGAGCAAAUGCCUGGUGUUAAUAGCACUGGGAGCUGAGAGUACCGGAAGAAUAAGCACCGGCUAACUACGUGCCAGCCGCCGCAGUAAAAC